ensembl:lncRNA
UGUGGUUUUCCCUGGACAUAAACCUGUCAGAGCCAUCAAGGAGGAGUUCCACAGGAUUGCAGGAUUUCCCAGUGUGAUUGGCUGCAUAGAUGGAACACACAUCCCCAUCACAGCUCCCUCACAUAAUGAAGCUGAUUAUGUGAACAGGAAGUCCAUUCACAGUAUAAAUGUGCAGGUAGGUUACAGGUAGAUUGACUACGGUUUCACAAUGUUAAAGACUGCAUCAUAGUUCAACAUCAGUCAUUCUCUGCACUGUCAAGAUCAUAUGUGAUGCUGCAUACAUCAUUUCUAAUGUGGAGGCCAAGUGGUCUGGAUCUGUUCAUGACUGGAGGAUUUAUCAUGAAUCUAAUGAGAGUUUGAUGGCCUUCUGCUGGGUGACAGGGGUUACCAUGCCAACCCAGGCUGAUGACCUCAUACCCUGACCCUGAACCAGGCCCCCAACAGAACUUCAACCAGGUUCACUGCAGGAUGAGAGCCUGGGUGGAGAUGACCAUAGACCUGCUGAAAGCCUGUUUCCAGUGUCUACAUCACCUCAGGGUGACUCCUGAGAGGCCUGUGAUAUUAUUGUGGCAUGUGUUGUUCUUCAUAAUAUUACCACUAUUAGAGGAGAGCAACACCCUGCCCUACAAACUGAAGACCCAGAUGAUGACCUCAUCCACCUGCAGCUAUCCAGGACAGCAGAGCAGUCAGAGACACCAUAUGCAAUAAUCACUGCAGAGUUUGUCUCCAUCAUCACCACAGC